rnacentral:sRNA from 1 species
CAAGUCCAUUGCGAUGAAGGAGCAGCGAUCCACAUCGGCCCCGAGUCAUGCGCGGGCAGUCGUGAGGCUCUACGUGAAGUGUCGACAGGGGAGCACCGAAUAAAGCGGAAGCGAGGGCAGCGAAGACUACGCCGUAGAGGGGAGGAAAUGAAUACCAGCUCUUGGCGACUCGGAAUAUCUUGGAAAA